rnacentral:misc_RNA from 1 species
GAUGAAGAACGCAGCGAAAUGCGAUAAGUAAUGUGAAUUGCAGAAUUCAGUGAAUCAUCGAAUCUUUGAACGCACAUUGCGCCCGCCAGUAUUCUGGCGGGCAUGCCUGUUCGAGCGUCAUUUCAACCCUCAAGCCCCCGGGCUUGGUGUUGGGGAUCGGCGUGCCCUCGCGGCGCGCCGUCCCCUAAAUCUAGUGGCGGUCUCGCUGUAGCUUCCUCUGCGUAGUAGCAACACUCGCACUGGAUCGCAGCGCGGCCACGCCGUUAAACCCCCCACUUCUGAAAGUUUGACCUCGGAUCAGGUAGGAAUACCCGCUGAACUUAAGCAUAUCAAAGCGGAGGA